CCCAAGAUGAAGUUGUUGGUAUUUACCCUUGCUGCCUUGUUGACGCUGGCGGUGGGUCAGGAUCCGUUUUAUUACGGAAUGGGAAUGGGCGGGUUCGGAAUGCAGUACGGCGGACUCGGAAUGAUGUACGGAGGGUAUGGCGGCAUGUACGGAGGGUAUGGCGGUAUGUACGGAGGGUAUGGCGGAUAUGGCAGUAUGCUCGGUUUGGGCGGCCUCUAUGGUAUGGGAUACGGUGGAUACAGCCCGUACGGCAUUGGAGGCAUGUAUGGCUGAAUGGACAAAUAAGACGCAGAUAUUUUCCUCUCAAAAUAAAUACCAACUAAUCAAAGGAAGUCGGCGAACCUAAUGGCCAGUACAAUGCUAUUUAUCGACAAUGAAAUUAAAUGCUAAUAUAUG